rnacentral:rRNA from 1 species
AUUGAACGCUGGCGGCAUGCUUUACACAUGCAAGUCGAACGGCAGCGCGGGGCAACCUGGCGGCGAGUGGCGAACGGGCGAGUAAUACAGCGGAACGUACCCAGAAGUGGGGGAUAACGUAGCGAAAGUUACGCUAAUACCGCAUACGCUCUACGGAAGAAAGUGGGGGACCUUCGGGCCUCCUACCUUUGGAGCGGCCGAUGUCUGAUGAGCUAGUUGGUGAGGUAAAGGCUCACCAAGGCGACGAUCAGUAGCUGGUCUGAGAGGACGACCAGCCACACUGGGACUGAGACACGGCCCAGACUCCUACGGGAGGCAGCAGUGGGGAAUUUUGGACAAUGGGCGCAAGCCUGAUCCAGCAAUGCCGCGUGAGUGAAGAAGGCCUUCGGGUUGUAAAGCUCCUUUGUCAGGGAAGAAACGGCUGAGGUUAAUACCUUCGGCUAAUGACGGUACCUGAAGAAUAAGCACCGGCUAACUACGUGCCAGCAGCCGCGGUAAUAC